GAAAAAUGUGAGGGAUCUAAGGCUGAGGUUGGGCAAGCAUAGUAAAGCCAAAUCAGGGAAGGGUUUUUAAGGCAAAGGACAGGACUCAAUGUGGGUGACAUUCUAAUGAUUUGUCAUAGUUAUGCUAUCUUCUAUGCUCAGAAUUUAUGUUAAAAAAAGCAGUGCCACUGUGUGUGUGUGUGUGUGUGUGUGUGCUUGUGAGAGAGAGACAGAUAGACAUUCAGAGACAUUGAGAAGUACAAAGUGACUCUAAACAAAUGAGUCUAACAUCACCCGCCUAAUGCUGUUAUGUUAUUGUCAUUUGACAAAUGACUGUUAAGCAAUAAGACAAGAAAAUCUAUACUGACAAAAAAACUAAUUUUUUAAACAAUCUAAUUUGAUUUAUAGUAAAAGAAAGAUUUUUGCGGCUAGGGGAAGAACAUUUAGCUAAUCCAUCUGUAUAAUUGCCACAUUUUAUUUCUUUUGUAUAGCUGUGACUUCACUGUUAACACAGAAUGUAGAAUGUAAAUUAUUUAUUGUGAAAUGUCACUGGCCUUCAGCUUCUGGGGUAUCAGUGUGGCAUGUAAGGAAUUACCCCUGGUAUGUGGUUGUAACAUCAGUCAGAGGUUCAAUUGGAGCUUGAUUUUACUGAGUCCUAGAUUCCAUUCUAACUCUCUACAUUUUAUGUUCAUGAUUGCAAUUGAGUUAAUGAUAAUCUUGUGUACUUUAGGUGCUUUGAGAUGAUUAACAAAACAUACUGUAUAAUAUGUGAAUUACUGAAAAAAUGUAAAGUUUUAAUAUGGGGAAUUAUGGAAAUUAUGUGAAAAGGUUGAUUAUAUUUAUUGUUAUAUGCUGAACACAGAUAAUUUCUGUUUGUUGAAAUGUGCACUAAAGGAAAAAUACAUGAAAUAAGAACCCUAAAUUGCAAAAAUAUUUUUAAAAAGAAAGUAAUAAUUAAGUCGUAAUUUUAAUAGUCUCGAAAAGCUGUUACAAGUCUUUAAGAUUAGUGACUAAAUCAAACUAAUUCAAUGAUUUAUAAGAAUUAGGAUGUCAGUAGAGACAAGCAGUGAUAAAGAGAAAUCUUUCCCAGGCAUGGUGACCACUAAUGGGAGUGAAAGGGAUUCAGAGGAGCCCAGCCUUGUGGCAGAACACUAACACAUCCACAUAGAGAAGAUCUUCAAAAGGCAAUCAUGCACAGAAUAUAGGAGCCUUCCAGACGUCUGAGGUAGAUAAAGUGAGAUUCUAGAGUGCUCAUCAUUUUUCCCAGUUAUAGUGGUAUAUGUAUAAUUAAUUUAGACACUUCUAAGUACUAAAUUACAGUAGUAUUGACUUCACAUAAAAAAAAAAACACACUAAAUGCAACAAUCUCUUGUUUUGACCACUCAGAGAAUCACUUUCAAUAUCUUGCAAGAUCUAAUACAUCUUAGCCUUUUAUAAUGAAGAAACUCUGGGAAACAAAAUAAUAAUAUUUACUAGAGAUUACUGUUUGUCAGUGAUAUUCUGCUCACUAGUAUAUUAUUAGCUAAUAAACUCUCUUCUCAACUACUAGUUAUUGGCUAUUUGUUGUUCAGAUGAUCAGACAUAAACACAUUGAUAACUAUAUCACUAAUGAGAAAAUUGAGAAAGACUACAUACACUCAUUCAAAUCCAUUGAUUGCUGAAUUUUAAUUUCAUCAAUUAAUGUAAUUAUGCUAAAGGCCUAUGUAUAUUUUUAUAAGCAGC
rnacentral:lncRNA from 1 species